rnacentral:lncRNA from 1 species
UGUUAAUCAAGCACACACUUACUUAUUAUUGAUCUAGUAAUCUUUUUAUAAAUAUUGUUACGUUUUUUCCUAUGGCAGGUACAUAGUUGCCCGUUAAGUAAAAUGUUAUGCAAACACCCUCUUUUUGAGACUAAUAAAUCAAAGCAUGUCGCAUCUAUCGUCUUUACUCCGAGCCUAUGAAAUUACUUUUCAUCGCCUUGUUAACUAUGACUUUUCGAGGCAUUGAGAGCAUAGUCCAGCAACAUAAUUCAUUGCGGGCACGUCACCUCUUGGCUCCGUAGCGAUUGAAGAAGAUCCAACCUUUAGCCGCAUCAGAUGGGUCUCCAAUAUCAAAGGCGAUUGUGUUCAAUGUCGUAGCACCUCAUGCAAGUUGCAUUUUGACAGUAUAGAACCACGUGACAUUGAUUGAUUUGACUCUUUUAAAUGUAGCCGGGAGUCAAAUUCCUUAUUUUUUGCCUAAGACAGUGUGUGAAGGUCACAUGCCUAUAAUGCCUAUGAUACGACGUUGUGACAUCGUCAAGUUUAAGUAGAGGGUCAUUGGGAUGAGGUCAUGUGUCAAUCAUUUGAGGAGCCUCAGUUCAUUCUCUUUGCCUAUAAAUACUUAACUUUAUGAAAUUGUGAAGGUAAUUACCAAUUGGUAGUUCUCACUCUAGAAAUCUAACCUUAGUCCCAUUUUUCCCCAUUUUUCUUCAUUGUUUGUUCUCUAUUCGUUAUUGUGCUGACUCUUGAGCUUCGAAACAUGUAC